AUUGAACGCUGGCGGCAGGCCUAACACAUGCAAGUCGAACGGUAACAGGAAGAAGCUUGCUUCUUUGCUGACGAGUGGCGGACGGGUGUGUAAUGUCUGGGAAACUGCCUGAUGGAGGGGGAUAACUACUGGAAACGGUAGCUAAUACCGCAUAACGUCGCAAGACCAAAGAGGGGGACCUUCGGGCCUCUUGCCAUCGGAUGUGCCCAGAUGGGAUUAGCUAGUAGGUGGGGUAACGGCUCACCUAGGCGACGAUCCCUAGCUGGUCUGAGAGGAUGACCAGCCACACUGGAACUGAGACACGGUCCAGACUCCUACGGGAGGCAGCAGUGGGGAAUAUUGCACAAUGGGCGCAAGCCUGAUGCAGCCAUGCCGCGUGUAUGAAGAAGGCCUUCGGGUUGUAAAGUACUUUCAGCGGGGAGGAAGGGAGUAAAGUUAAUACCUUGACUCAUUGACGUUACCCGCAGAAGAAGCACCGGCUAACUCCGUG
rnacentral:rRNA from 1 species